rnacentral:rRNA from 1 species
AAAUUGAAGAGUUUGAUCAUGGCUCAGAUUGAACGCUGGCGGCAGGCCUAACACAUGCAAGUCGAACGGUAGCACAGAGAGCUUGCUCUCGGGUGACGAGUGGCGGACGGGUGAGUAAUGUCUGGGAAACUGCCUGAUGGAGGGGGAUAACUACUGGAAACGGUAGCUAAUACCGCAUAACGUCGCAAGACCAAAGAGGGGGACCUUCGGGCCUCUUGCCAUCAGAU